AGGAAUUUGGCUCAGUGGUAGAGCACUUGCCUUGCAUGCAUGAGGCCCUGGGCUCAAUUCCUC
rnacentral:tRNA from 1 species